rnacentral:rRNA from 1 species
GUAGUCCACGCCCUAAACGAUGUCUACUAGUUGUCGGGUCUUAAUUGACUUGGUAACGCAGCUAACGCGUGAAGUAGACCGCCUGGGGAGUACGGUCGCAAGAUUAAAACUCAAAGGAAUUGACGGGGACCCGCACAAGCGGUGGAUGAUGUGGAUUAAUUCGAUGCAACGCGAAAAACCUUACCUACCCUUGACAUGGAUGGAAUCCCGGAGAGAUUUGGGAGUGCUCGAAAGAGAACCAUCACACAGGUGCUGCAUGGCUGUCGUCAGCUCGUGUCGUGAGAUGUUGGGUUAAGUCCCGCAACGAGCGCAACCCUUGUCAUUAGUUGCUACGAAAGGGCACUCUAAUGAGACUGCCGGUGACAAACCGGAGGAAGGUGGGGAUGACGUCAAGUCCUCAUGGCCCUUAUGGGUAGGGCUUCACACGUCAUACAAUGGUACAUACAGAGCGCCGCCAACCCGCGAGGGGGAGCUAAUCGCAGAAAGUGUAUCGUAGUCCGGAUUGUAGUCUGCAACUCGACUGCAUGAAGUUGGAAUCGCUAGUAAUCGCGAAUCAGCAUUGUCGCGGUGAAUACGUUCCCGGGCCUUGUACACACCGCCCGUCACACCAUGGGAGUUGGCUGCACCAGAAGUAGGUAGCUUAACCUCGCAAGAGGAGGGCGCUUACCACGGUGUGGUCAAUGACUGGGGUG